GGUGCCUAAUACAUGCAAGUCGAGCGGACAGAUGGGAGCUUGCUCCCUGAUGUUAGCGGCGGACGGGUGAGUAACACGUGGGUAACCUGCCUGUAAGACUGGGAUAACUCCGGGAAACCGGGGCUAAUACCGGAUGGUUGUUUGAACCGCAUGGUUCAAACAUAAAAGGUGGCUUUGGCUACCACUUACAGAUGGACCCGCGGCGCAUUAGCUAGUUGGUGAGGUAACGGCUCACCAAGGCAACGAUGCGUAGCCGACCUGAGAGGGUGAUCGGCCACACUGGGACUGAGACACGGCCCAGACUCCUACGGGAGGCAGCAGUAGGGAAUCUUCCGCAAUGGACAAAAGUCUGACGGAGCAACGCCGCGUGAGUGAUGAAUGUUUUCGGAUCGUAAAGCUCUGUUGUUAGGGAACAACAAGUACCGUCC
rnacentral:rRNA from 1 species